ensembl:lncRNA novel transcript, antisense to TACC2
AGUGGCCCGGUGGUGGAGAUGCUUCCGAGACGAAAGCACAGAAAGCAAAUGCAGAACUUCCCUGCCUCUCCGUCCUUCCCUCAUUUUGAACAGAGACAGCAGCUACCUGUGACUGCCCUGGGGUGAAUGUGCAGCAUCUGGGGUAAAUUUCUUCCCACGCCUGCCCGCAGCAGUCGAGACAGAAGCUGGCACAGGGCUGCCCUUCUUGUGAGCCAGGCAGCAAAAACCAGGCGCUGAGGCUCAGAACUGCUGACUCAAGCCUCCAUGAAGGAACAGAAAUCCAGAAAGCCGGGCCAGAAAUAGCAUCCGUGAGCAUCUAUUGAUAGCAUAAAGUCCGUGGGCAGAGUCCCAGUUCCCACCCUGAGUCCUGCCAAACAGUGCUGCAACAGUCAGCGUUCUGGCCACAGAGAGUGAGGAUGCAGGAUGGCUCGGCCCAUUUCCCCAACUACGUCAGUCUGGACAGAUGUCUCAGGCUGUGUUGGCAGAGGCACUGCUGGUACCACGUGCCAACCUCGGGACAAGCUGCCUCCUCUUGGAAAUGAAGCAGGGACGAUGCACCAGGGAAUCAUGUCAUCAAGUCAGCCGUGUCAACACGCGUUUAUGGAAUGGAAUGGAAUAGAGUAUCACUGCAGCCCACCAAAACAGCUGUCUCUGUCUGCCUCCUUUUCCCCAUCACUGCUGGGAGUUGGAGUGGGGGGAAUGUGAAUUCAAUGCCUCCUACUUGUCAAACACUGAGCUACAUUCUUCAUGUACAUUUACUACUCACAAUAACCCCCAAGAGAACCCACAGGCCCAGUCCAAUCAUGAGAAAAGCAUCAGACAAAUUCCAAUAGUGGGGCAUCCUACUAAAUACCCAACCAGAACUCCUUAGAACUGUCAAGGUCAUCAGAAACAAGACAAGUCUAAGAAGAAACAGCCACAGCCAAGAGGCACCUACAGAAACAAAAUGGAAAUGUGGUUUCCUGGAUGGGAUCCUGGAACAGAAAAAGGACAUUAGGGAAAAACUAAGAAAACGUGAAUCAACUAUUGUAUUAGUUCAUUUUCUGUUGCUUAUAGCAGAAUACCUGAAACUAGAUAACUUAUAAAGAAAAGUAGUUGUUUUCUUACAGUUAUGGAGUCUGAGAAGUCAAAGGUCAAGGGGCAGCAUCUGGUGAGGGCCUUCUUGCUGGUGGGGACUCUGCAGAGUACAGAGGUGGUUCAGGGUAUCCUAUAACGAGGGGGCUGAGUAAGCUAGCUCGGGUCUUUCUUCCUCUUCUUAUAAAGCCACCAGUCCCACUCCCAUGAUAUCCCAGCAAUCCAUUAAUUCAUGAAUGGAUUAACCCAUUCAUGAGUGCAGAGCCACAUAACCCAAUCACCUCUUAAAGGCCUCACCUCUCAAUACUGCCAGAUUGGGGGUUAAGUUUCAGCAUGAAUUUUGGAGGCAACAAAUACUCAAACCACAGCAACUAUAGACUUUAGUUAUUAUAAUAAAGAUGUAUCAAUAUAUUGAUAACUUUUUUUUUUUGAGAUGGACCUCAGGGUCCAUGCACAUGCUGUUUCUCCCCAACAAUAUCUAUUCUCUUCUGUAUCUUCAGCAACCUCCGGCCCAGCCCACACAUAAACCCACUCAGCCUAAGCUCUCAGUCGAUUCCCUGGGAAGCCAUCCUCAGCUACCCAGACUAAGUGAGGUUGUGGGUCGCAUCCAUCCAGGGUGCUGCACUUCUCCCCUAGUAACUCAUUGCUCCAUGUCUAUCUGCCAGCACUGGAUGCUCCUUGAGGGCAGGACGGUGCCUGUCUUCCAGACCUCUGUGUCCUGUCCCUAGCACAGUGAUUGGCCCAGAGUAAUCCCAAGUUCAUGUUGCUGAAUGGCUCAGAUGUGUAAAUGAAUGAGAUUCAGAAGCAACCCACACAGAGUGGGCUCCAGGGCUAAAGGUGAGAUCACCCAGUGUGCCUUCUAUGACAGGUUGAGAGCCGUGAGCCCAUCUGACCUCAGGAAAGAAAGACAUAGAGCAAAUGGGUACCACUUGUGUCUGCUGGUGCCAGGAGGCACCAGAGAUGCUCUCUGACCCUAACACUGCAUCAGCAAAAGGUCUGAAGGUUGAAAUUUUUAUUUUAGAUUUCAUCAAAAAUCUACUCUAGCCCUUGGAUAAGUUCUUUUAAAAAAAAUGAGGUAUAACUUACAUACCAAAAAAUAGUAAAAUUCACUCUUUUUAAGUAUAUAGUUCCACAAAUUUUACAGAACAUUUCCAUCACCCCCCACAAAGAUCUCUUCAUGCUCAUUUGUAGUCAAUACAAAUCCCAGCCCCCAGUGCCCACUGAUCUGUUUUCCAUUCCUUAUUGUUUUGCCUUUCCCAGAAUCUCAUCUAGACUGAAUCAUGUAGAAUGUAGUCUUUUGAGUCCAGUCUUUCUCACUUAGCCUAAUGCAUUUGCGAUUCAUCAAUUUAGUUGCAUGAAUCAAUAGCUUGUUCCUUUUUAUGGGUGAGUAAUAUUCCUUGGCAUAGAUAUACCACAAUUUGUUGAUCCUUUCACCAGUGGAUAGAUAUCUGGGUUGUUUCAAAUUUGGGGCAAUUAUGAAGAAUACAUGCAUACAAGUUUUUAGGUAGACAUAUAUUUUCAUCGUUCAUAGGUAAAUAUCUAAAAAUGGGAUUGCUGGGUCAUAUUGUGGAUUUAUGUUUACCUUUAUAAGAAACUGAAGGGCAGAAUA